UGGGCGUAGGUGGGUGUUCGACCAGAGAAGAGAAAGAAGGGGGAAACUCAAACCCUAAUCGACCAAAUUGGAUGGAUUCUGGCUGAAAUCGAACUUGCAUGAACAAGAUUCUUGAUUGUUCAACUCUGUAAAACACAUGGAAUCCCAAUUGACAUGGACUCAAGAAUGGAAGGCUACCGGAUCAAGGGUAAAUAAAGAAGCUAUGCACAACUCGGACGCACGAUGUAAGUGAUUCCAAUUCACUUCUUAGUAUGUACGUAGUAUUUAAUAUUUACGUGUAGAAAAAUAUGCAAGAAUCAUGUAAUAAAUGAGAAGUAUUGAGGUAAGUAUUAUUUUAGUAUAACAAAGGAGUUGUUUAUAAUGAAAGUAAACUAGUAGGAUUAGACGGGUCAAAUAAUGUAUAAAGGGGUUUAUAAGCCGUUUGCUUAUAAAUCAGAUUUUGAUGCUACCCGAAGUGAUAAACGGAUCCGUAAUUAAAUUACUUGCGCGUAGGAAAAAGAAUCGGGUAAAACGGAUAAAAAUGAGAGAGUUAUGUUCGUUUCGGUAAGAAUUAAUGGCUGGGAAAGUGCAGAGCUGACACGGCCGGGUGGUGAGCUGACACGGCCGGGUGAAGGUUCUGUGAAAAAUAUAUGGUUAGUUGACACGGCCGGGUGGUUAACCCGACCCGGCCGGGUGAAGGGGCUGAAAAUAAAAAAAAUAAUAUAUGUAAGUAGAAAGUGGUUGCUAUGAAUGCACGUAAAAAUAAGGAAUGUAUACGUUUGUGAAUGCGAAAUGUUAUAAAUGUAUAAAGGAAUGGUACGGAAUGGUUUCAUUAUGUUCGAGCAUUAAUGAUUGCUAAUGGUGUGUUUAAGAUUGAAAUGCAUUGCAGGUAUAUGAACACUGGGUUCUUGAAGUUUCGAAGUCGAACUCUGAAUAAGAAAAUACGAGAGGAUAGUUAAAUAAAUCAAAGUUUCAUUGUUAAAUGUUAUUCACUAUUAGAUUAUAUGAGAAUCAUGUUGUAUAAGUUGUCAAUGACUAAUGGUUAAGUUGUAUGUGAUGUUCACAGGUAUUGCAUGUAUCUCUACCACUACUAUCGAAGAUAAGCAUGCAUUGAUCGAACCCCAAAUUAAAGAUUGUACGGGAAGAACGACCACAUAGUCCGAUUUAUGUAUUGUCUUGAAGUGUUACUUUAAUGUGGUUAUUGUUAAUCCCUUUUUUUUGUAAAUGUUUAUCAUUUGUAUUUGAGCUUUUAAAUAAGUAAUGGGUCUAAAUAAGAAAGAAAAUUUUUGGGCUCAUAUUUUCCGCUGCGUCAUGUUUAAGUUCUUACAGGUAAUUGUUCAUUAUACGAACGGGUCAUGCCCGAAUUUUGUAAAUAAUAAUACUUAUUUGGAAUAAGAAAUAUGGGCGUUACAGCUAAGGACAAGGAGAAGAUUAUCAAGUGUAGAAAAGACAGCUAAGACCAUUAGUACCUCUCGUAAUAGGCUGGAGCUAUAGGGUGUCAAUAGAGGAUCUUGCAAAUCCAUAAGAUACCUGAAGUCUGUUGUUUUUUUGUUUCUUUGUAUAUUUAUGAUCCGCCUGUGGAUCUUAUUACAUUCCAGUCUGUAUAUUCAUAAACUCGAACGCUCAGACAAUAUGGUUUGUAAUAGUUUAUUCACCAAGCCUUCCGCUGUGCUAUAAUAUUGUGUGUAUU
rnacentral:lncRNA from 1 species